rnacentral:rRNA from 1 species
GACGAACGCUGGCGGCGUGCCUAAUACAUGCAAGUCGAGCGGAGCUUAUCCUUCGGGGUAAGCUUAGCGGCGGACGGGUGAGUAACACGUAGGCAACCUACCCUGUAGACUGGGAUAGCUACCGGAAACGGUACCUAAUACCGGAUAAUUACUUUCUUCUCCUGGAGGAAGGGUGAAAGGCGGAGCAAUCUGCUACUAGAGGAUGGGCCUGCGGCGCAUUAGCUAGUUGGUGGGGUAACGGCCCACCAAGGCGACGAUGCGUAGCCGACCUGAGAGGGUGAACGGCCACACUGGGACUGAGACACGGACCAGACUCCUACGGGAGGCAGCAGUAGGGAAUCUUCCGCAAUGGGCGAAAGCCUGACGGAGCAACGCCGCGUGAGUGAUGAAGGUUUUCGGAUCGUAAAGCUCUGUUGCCAGGGAAGAACGUUUUCUAGAGUAACUGCUAGGAAAGUGACGGUACCUGAGAAGAAAGCCCCGGCUAACUACGUGCCAGCAGCCGCAGUAAAAC